rnacentral:rRNA from 1 species
UAGGGAAUCUUCCACAAUGGACGCAAGUCUGAUGGAGCAACGCCGCGUGAGUGAAGAAGGUUUUCGGACCGUAAAGCUCUGUUGUUGGUGAAGAAGGAUAGAGGUAGUAACUGGCCUUUAUUUGACGGUAAUCAACCAGAAAGUCACGGCUAACUACGUGCCAGCAGCCGCGGUAAUCGUAGGUGGCAAGCGUUGUCCGGAUUUAUUGGGCGUAAAGCGAGCGCAGGCGGAAGAAUAAGUCUGAUGUGAAAGCCCUCGGCUUAACCGAGGAAUUGCAUCGGAAACUGUUUUUCUUGAGUGCAGAAGAGGAGAGUAGAACUCCAUGUGUAGCGGUGGAAUGCGUAGAUAUAUGGAAGAAUACCAGUGGCGAAGGCGGCUCUCUGGUCUGCAACUGACGCUGAGGCUCGAAAGCAUGGGUAGCGAACAGGAUUAGAUACCCUGGUAGUCCAUGCCGUAAACGAUGAGUGCUAAGUGUUGGGAGGCUUCCGCCUCUCAGUGCUGCAGCUAACGCAUUAAGCACUCCGCCUGGGGGAGUACGACCGCAAGGU